AACGAACGCUGGCGGCAGGCCUAACACAUGCAAGUCGAGCGCCCCGCAAGGGGAACGGCGGACGGGUGAGUAACGCGUGGGAACGUACCUUUUGCUUCGGAAUAGCCUCGGGAAACUGGGAGUAAUACCGAAUGUGCCCUACGGGGGAAAGAUUUAUCGGCAAAAGAUCGGCCCGCGUUGGAUUAGGUAGUUGGUGGGGUAAUGGCCUACCAAGCCGACGAUCCAUAGCUGGUCUGAGAGGAUGAUCAGCCACACUGGGACUGAGACACGGCCCAGACUCCUACGGGAGGCAGCAGUGGGGAAUCUUAGACAAUGGGCGCAAGCCUGAUCUAGCCAUGCCGCGUGAGCGAUGAAGGCCUUAGGGUUGUAAAGCUCUUUCGUGGGGGAAGAUAAUGACUGUACCCCAAGAAGAAGCCCCGGCUAACUCCGUGCCAGCAGCCGCCGUAA
rnacentral:rRNA from 1 species